rnacentral:rRNA from 1 species
UACGUAGGGUCCGAGCGUUGUCCGGAAUUACUGGGCGUAAAGAGCUCGUAGGUGGUUUGUCGCGUUGUUCGUGAAAAACUCACAGCUCAACUGUGGGCGUGCGGGCGAUACGGGCAGACUGAGUACUGCAGGGGAGACUGGAAUUCCUGGUGUAGCGGUGGAAUGCGCAGAUAUCAGGAGGAACACCGGUGGCGAAGGCGGGUCUCUGGGCAGUAACUGACGCUGAGGAGCGAAAGCGUGGGGAGCGAACAGG